UAAAAGUCUACACUUGUUUCAACUUUCAAGU
rnacentral:piRNA from 1 species